AUGUACCACAUUAGGGACUGGUUCCCUUUCGAUCUCCGCACUAAAACAAGGUGGAGCCCGGUAAGUACCUGUAUGGUUGAACAGUCGGGAAUAUUGGAUUUUGUAGCCGUCC
rnacentral:rRNA from 1 species